rnacentral:rRNA from 1 species
CUACGGGUGGCAGCAGUGGGGAAUAUUGCACAAUGGAGGAAACUCUGAUGCAGCAACGCCGCGUGGAGGAUGACACUUUUCGGAGCGUAAACUCCUUUUAUAUAGGAAGAUAAUGACUGUACUAUAUGAAUAAGCACCGUCUAACUCCGUGCCAGCAGCCGCGGUAAUACGGAGGGUGCAAGCGUUACUCGGAAUCACUGGGCGUAAAGAGCGUGUAGGCGGAUAGAUAAGUCAGGAGUGAAAUCCUAUGGCUCAACCAUAGAACUGCUCUUGAAACUGUCUAUCUAGAAUAUGGGAGAGGUAGAUGGAAUUUCUGGUGUAGGGGUAAAAUCCGUAGAGAUCAGAAGGAAUACCGAUUGCGAAGGCGAUCUACUGGAACAUUAUUGACGCUGAGACGCGAAAGCGUGGGGAGCAAACAGGAUUAGAUACCCGUGUAGUC